AUGAACGCUGGCGGCGUGCCUAAUACAUGCAAGUCGAGCGCACAGACGAGGAGCUUGCUCCUCUGACGUUAGCGGCGGACGGGUGAGUAACACGUGGAUAACCUACCUAUAAGACUGGGAUAACUUCGGGAAACCGGAGCUAAUACCGGAUAAUAUAUUGAACCGCAUGGUUCCAUAGUGAAAGACGGUUUUGCUGUCACUUAUAGAUGGAUCCGCGCCGCGUUAGCUAGUUGGUAAGGUAACGGCUUACCAAGGCAACGAUGCGUAGCCGACCUGAGAGGGGGAACGGCCACACUGGAAAUGAGACAGGGUACAGAGACCUACGGGAGGCAGCAGGAGGGAAUCUUCCGGAAUGGGCGAAAGCCUGACGGAGCAACGCCGCGGGAGUGAUGAAGGUCUUCGGAACGUAAAACUCUGUUAUUAGGAAAAAAAAAAAGGGUAAGUAACUAUGCACGUCUUGACGGGACCGAAUCAGAAAGCCACGGCUAACUACGU
rnacentral:rRNA from 1 species